AAAAAAUAUAGGCAAAGAGACAGGUCAUCUGCAUAAUUAGGAAAGUAGGUAGAAAGCUCCACCCCUUCAUCUUCCUCAAACGAAAUAACCGUAGAUUUGAUCUACUGUUAACUUGGUUUGGAAAAAUCCUCCUCCGCUUCGAUGUUCAUCCUCAACUAUCAGCUCAAAGCUCCAUCUCUAAGCUAAGUGUCGAAUCCUUCGUGAUUAAUUGUUCUUCCUCUUUUCAUUAGAUCGAUGGAAUGAACUUCUAAGAAGCUAAUACCACCAUCAUAUCAAAAGAAUCGAUUUAGAAACAAUAAAACCUGUCCUUAUGAUGCCAACAGGUUUCCAUGUCUUAAUAGUUAGAGCUACAUAUCAGAAUCGGUGGAUCUAUUGUUUGGAUACUCGUACCAUUAACACCCCAAGGUCUCACUGGGUGUAGGUGUUUGCAUCCAAAGAAAUCACUUCUAACAAUAGCAAACUUUGUAAACAUGGUCAAUGUUCUACAUCCCUAUUCAAACCAUCUGCAACAUUUUCCAGAUUUACUAACAGAAACACUAAGAUCACAAACUACCAGAUGUUGAUGCCCAUAAACAGGUGCUUCCAACAUCUAUAGACUUUGUUCACCCCCUGAGUUGGCAGGAGAUGUAAGGAUGCAAUCAUUACUAUGUUCUUUUGCUAUUUGUAUUUUUCUCCAUUGUUUACCGCCGAUUUCCUUUGAUUUUCAU